GAGACACAAGCGCUGCGUCCGAGGUUGCAUACUGCAAGGAGUCAGCAGUGUUUUGAUUUGAGGGCGCGGGCAAAUGUAAAGAGAACGUCGUGGCGUGUGUCCAUUGCAAGAUAGAGCUGGCAUACCACAACUAGGGCCCUAUGAUUUCCGCGAUGCAGAUAAUGCGGAGGGAAUUGAGGAAUCCAGUCAUAAAAACGGACAGUUAAACACGGAAUGGCACGGAAUUUGCCAAAUUUUGAAUGAAUUAAUCAAGAAUAGGUCAUUGCACUUACAUCAAAUCACAAUAUGGAAUAAUAUCUGUAAAUAUUAAGUCGGAACAGACUAUUUAAAUAUGAAUCCUGCAUGUUCUGCGUGUCUCUGUUAAUGAAUGGAGUAGAAGCGUGACUUCCUUUAUUUACACACACUGAAGUGCGCGUGACACUCACGGUAAUUUCAGCAUCUGCUGUAUCACAGGACUUGAACACAUGAGGAACAUCUCCAGAACUGCUCUGACAGUCACUUCAUGAGCAUUUGACCGUUUGAUUUGAGUAAAACUAGCGUCACAUCACAUACACAGAACUGUAAAGUACAAGUACAGACAGAGAAACAAUAGGUUUUUGGGUCCUGCUGCAGAUGAAGGCUGUCAGUAUGUGACUGGAAUUGUGGGUAAAAACCCGUUACUCCUGAGAGAGCUGGAUCUGAGUGAACAUAAACUAGGAGAC